UUGAGGUGUUAUUAUUAAUAAGGAGUCGGACCUGCCCGGUGAAAUUUUUUAACGGCCGCGGUACUCUGACCGUGCAAAGGUAGCAUAAUCAUUUGCCUUAUAAUUGAAGGCUGGUAUGAACGGUUUGACAAGAAUAUAACUGUCUCUUUACAAUUUAGUAGAACUUUAUUUUUAGGUGAAAAAGCCUAGAUUGAAUUAAAAGACAAGAAGACCCUAUCGAGCUUUAGAAAAAUUAGUGGGUUUAUUAUUUUUAUUAAUAAAAAGUACAGCUAUUAAAUAUUUUGGUUGGGGCGACUGAGGAACAUAAAAAGCUUCCUUUAGAUAUUUUAUUAACAUACAGGUAUUGAUCCAUAGUUAGUGAUUAAAGAAAUUAGUUACCGUAGGGAUAACAGCAUUAUCCUUUUUGAGAGUUCUAAUCGAAAAAAGGGUUUGUGACCUCGAUGUUGGACCAGAAUGUCCUAAAGAUGCAGAAGUCUUUAAGGGUUGGUCUGUUCGACCAUUAAAAUUCUA
rnacentral:rRNA from 1 species